rnacentral:rRNA from 1 species
GAUGAACGCUGGCGGCGUGCCUAAUACAUGCAAGUCGAGCGAACAGACGAGGAGCUUGCUCCUCUGACGUUAGCGGCGGACGGGUGAGUAACACGUGGAUAACCUACCUAUAAGACUGGGAUAACUUCGGGAAACCGGAGCUAAUACCGGAUAAUAUAUUGAACCGCAUGGUUCAAUAGUGAAAGACGGUUUUGCUGUCACUUAUAGAUGGAUCCGCGCCGCAUUAGCUAGUUGGUAAGGUAACGGCUUACCAAGGCAACGAUGCGUAGCCGACCUGAGAGGGUGAUCGGCCACACUGGAACUGAGACACGGUCCAGACUCCUACGGGAGGCAGCAGUAGGGAAUCUUCCGCAAUGGGCGAAAGCCUGACGGAGCAACGCCGCGUGAGUGAUGAAGGUCUUCGGAUCGUAAAACUCUGUUAUUAGGGAAGAACAAAUGUGUAAGUAACUAUGCACGUCUUGACGGUACCUAAUCUGAAAGCCACGGCUAACUACGU